rnacentral:rRNA from 1 species
AACGAACGCUGGCGGCAUGCCUAACACAUGCAAGUCGAACGGGAUCCUAGCUUGCUAGGUGAGAGUGGCGGACGGGUGAGUAACACGUGGGAAUCUGCCUUUUGGUUCGGGAUAACCGCGGGAAACUGCGGCUAAUACCGAAUGCCCUCGAGAGAGGAAAGAUUUAGUCGCCAGAAGAGGAGCCCGCGUCCGAUUAAGGUAGUUGGUGGGGUAAAGCCUACCAAGCCGACGAUCGGUAGCUGGUCUGAGAGGAUGAUCAGCCACACUGGGACUGAGAUACGGCCCAGACUCCUACGGGAGGCAGCAGUGGGAAUAUUGGACAAUGGGGGCAACCCUGAUCCAGCAAUGCCGCGUGAGUGAUGAAGGCCUUA